rnacentral:pre_miRNA from 2 species
GGGAGAGUGCGAUGUUGGCAUGGUUCAAUCAAACCGGGCAAACUUAUGCACUAGCUAAGCAAGAUGCAGGGAUAUGCAGUAUGGUUUUGUUUGGUCUGAUUGAGCCGUGCCAAUAUCACAAGCUUGC